rnacentral:rRNA from 1 species
AUUGAACGCUGGCGGCAGGCUUAACACAUGCAAGUCGAGCGGGGUGAUGGUGCUUGCACUAUCACUUAGCGGCGGACGGGUGAGUAAUGCUUAGGAAUCUGCCUAUUAGUGGGGGACAACAUCUCGAAAGGGAUGCUAAUACCGCAUACGUCCUACGGGAGAAAGCAGGGGAUCACUUGUGACCUUUCGCUAAUAGAUGAGCCUAAGUCGGAUGAGCUAGUUGGUGGGGUAAAGGCCUACCAAGGCGACGAUCUGUAGCGGGUCUGAGAGGAUGAUCCGCCACACUGGGACUGAGACACGGCCCAGACUCCUACGGGAGGCAGCAGUGGGGAAUAUUGGACAAUGGGGGGAACCCUGAUCCAGCCAUGCCGCGUGUGUGAAGAAGGCCUUAUGGUUGUAAAGCACUUUAAGCGAGGAAGAGGCUCUUUUGGUUAAUACCCAAGAUGAGUGGACGUUACUCGCAGAAUAAGCACCGGCUAACUCUGUGCCAGCCGCCGCGGUAA